GAAGUGUUAGUAAAGCAUUUACAUAGCCUUGUCAAGACUAAAUCACAGGUGAGACCCCUGUACACUUCA
rnacentral:tRNA from 1 species